GAGGCAGUCGGUCUGAAGCCUUCAUGGUGGAUGUAAUGCCUGGAGCUACAGCAGCUAUUUCAUAACUAUGAGGCAAUGAGCAAGGAAAGGCCAAGAGAAUCACAGAAAUGCCAGGCCUGACUCAAGCUCCUGCAGCACCUCCUGAACCUCUGCCUCCAGAACACGUGUCCUGUGGGAAAACCCUGUGUGUUGACAGCGUCGUGGUCAUAGAUCCUGUACUUGCAGGCACACUCCUUUCUCUCUGGGCCUUCCCCAGCGUGUAGAGCCUGUUGGACACAAGAGCACUGGCCACUGGCCUCUCCCAGCAGCGCCAUGUGCCCUUGGGCUGUGGAUAGGAUCCCAGCCGACGCUGCAGAGAACUCAGCGUUGUCAGCUGUGAAUACUUACAGCCUGCGUCAAGAUCCUUGAAUUCCAGGUUCCCGUCAGUGGUAGGAAGAUCUCCAUGGCACGAUCUCUGGAACCUGCGAGUACGUCACCUAGAAGGCCACGUCUGAGCAAAUGUGAUUAAAGUAAGGAUGUGGAGGCUGUGCAGCUUUCCUGGAUUACCCAGGUAGAGUGUAAACGCAGACUAGUCCUCACGAGAGAGCAGGGGAAGCCCCGACACAGAGGUGGCCACCUGAGGACAAGGCACGGAGAACAGGCUAGUUUGGACACCCAGGGCAUUCCAGGGUCCAUGCCUGUCCUGGGACUCCACUCCCUUGCUGGUGAGGGGUCCAGGCAUUGCCAGGAGGAGCCCAGCAGGGCGUCUGGGAGGCUUCCUCCUUCUUCGGUGCCUUUGCCCGUCCAGGACACACCUGGCCCCUGUUGCGUGCCAGGCCCUGAGUCUCGUAGUAACAGAAUGGACUUUGAUGCUGUUCCUCUCUCUCCUGGGCUGGCCAGGAGUCACUGCAGCUGCUUGACAAAUGUCACCCAGGUUGAGUGUUUUUAAAACCCUGUAUCUAUUCUAUGAAGGAUAGAAUGUUAAAACAUAUAUUAAAACCUUUAUUUUUCUGUCAACAUCAGAUGUACUUCCAUUUGCC
rnacentral:lncRNA from 10 species